UGGUUUACAGAAAAUGUUUUUUUAUGUGGCUGGAUUAGAAUUAGCUUGGAGGGGAUGUGAAGGUGUUAACGUUACUAUCAAACAUUUUAAGGAAGAAAGUGAUAAUUGUGGUUUGCCUACGGGGCGAAUAGAAUACAAUUGUAUUUUUUCCAAAACAGCUCAAGGAGGUAGCCAUAAAUUAACAGACAGCAAAUGGCUUGCAACAAACACCACAGAUCCUAGAAUUUGCCCUGUUAGGCUCUACAAAAAAAUGCUGAGCAAGAGAGGUAAACAUAUAACCACCGAUCGUUUAUUUUUAACGCCAAAUCCUGCAUGGAGAGAACCUAGUUCUGUAGGAUGGUUCAAAAAUUCACCCGUUGGAAGGAAUGAAAUGGGGAAAUGGACAAGAACCGCCGCAGAAGAAAUAGGCAUCGACAUAAAGAAAAAGAAGAUUAGUAAUCAUUCAUUACGGUCAACUGCAGUGUCGCAACUUGCAAAAGCGGGAGUCGGUGAAGAACAGCUUAUAAAGAUUACCGGUCAUGCCAAUACUUUCUCCAUCAAACCAUACCUUCAGCUCGAUGGAGAUCAUCAUUAUCAAAUGAUUGACAAAUUACGCGCCAACUCAACGGCUAUGGAAGAGUCUAAUAACAAAUCCACAAAUUGCGCACCGUCUGCUUUGGUACAAAUGUCUAAAAAUAUAGUUACUACUUCACCAAGCACACAAACCCCUGUAAAUUACUACAACUGUACCAUAAUUAAUUACAAUUCUUAGUUUCAUAAUUAAAUAUUUGGUUAGUAAC